UCAUUUAUUAUUCCUUCAGAUUACAUUCAGUCUAAAGAACAUUGUGAUUUUCUUUUAAAGUGAUUCUCUUCCUUAUGUGUGUAUGAACUGACCUGGAAGUCACUACUGUCUGUUUAUCUUCAUGUGAAACAGUUAACAAUGUGUUUCUCAGACCUUUGAUUAGUUAUCACACCUAGGAACUGGGUUGCUAGUUGAUUGUAUCAGAAGUUUUACGACCUUUGUUGUUUUUCCUGACUGUCCCCUAGGUAGAAAUUCCUUAGUCGUAAAACUGUGUUUGAUUGUGUUCGUUUCGGGGGCUCCUAAUCUUAUCAGCACCAGCCCCCUUUGCUUUUGUUUUGUGUUAAUAAAAAGACAAGCUCUACUGCAGAGUUUCAGAACACAUGGUGAACUGGUCAGAGGAGCAGUUCUCUGUGUUUUCUCCUUUUGCAAAAGCUUGGCUAUAAAAUUCAUAAUACGUUGUCUGUGGUUCUUUCUUUUAUUUAGGUUCGAAAGGAAAAAUACCUAUCAUUUUGGUGCCGAAACCCGGGAUCUCUCACCUCCCCCGCUGACAGGCAGAGGAAGACGCGCUGAAUCCGUGCACGGCCAGAUUCAAUUGAACCUGGAAAGACAGACUCAGGAAGCAAAUUCUUCGCUGGGCCAGCGACGUAGGUCCGACUUUGUCUGCCAACGGCGGAGUGACGAGAUCCGACUGGACAACCCGAAAACUACAGAAACAAAGCCCCUCCCAUCAAGCCAGGAGACUGGCUUGUCAGAGAAAGGAAGAGCUGGGCCAGCCCACUGUGGGAGGGACCAUUCCAAGUGCUGAUAACCACACCAACUGCUGUAAAUAUUGCUGAAAGACCCAGAUGGAUACAUCUCAGUCACUGUACGGUACAGAGAGUGUUAGACUUCUAGAUUGAGUGAUGGGGAAGAUCUGGCUACACAGGGAAUUCACUGUAUAGAUGUGUUUUGUCUCAACGCCAGCAGAAGAAUUCAACAGAUCCUCACUCUUUUAGCCUAGAAAUUCUGACAUCUCUGUAAUCUGAGCAGCAAUGGGACUCUCACAAGCCAGGUGGAAUCCCUGCUGUGCUGUGACUGCAGCAUGUUUAUUGUGUUGGAGUGGGGGCUGUCUCACCCUCAACAAGAUAAGGAGAGAAGCAGACACAUCUUUCCCCCAGACUCAUUCACAAGAUUACAGCCCCUAUUUGUGGUGGCAACUGAUGAAUAGAACUGAAUAUGAAGAAAAUGGGACCAACACAUAACUGUGGUCUGAGACAUGGAAACAAGCACACACCCAAGUGACACCAUACAUCUGCCACAGAUAGACCUCUGACUACCAGAAGUAAUUAUUUUGGUUAGUCUUAAGCCAGGAGCCCUUGGUGUCUGUGUGUAUAAUGGCACCACCUUUCUGGGGACAGCUCCAUAGAACCUGUGAAACAAAAAAUCUACACCUCCUGUGACAAGAAAGCAGACAUUUUUGACUGUGACGACUGCCAAGCGACGAACCACAUCAGUACUGCCUGUUCCAAAAGAUGGAAGUCUGACCGCAACUGUACCAGAGUUAUUCUUCUAAAGAUGAGGAAGUUCGACAUCGGAAGCAAGACCAGGGGACAUCAAAGUCACCUUCUGCAGCACCAUCAUUCCAGGGAACAGAGGAUCCAGGACAAUGGCAGACUGUGACUUUCCUGAAAAAGGUCCAGGACGUUCACAGCCAUGGACGCUACUGCACUAGGAGAGAUGUCAUGCCGAAAGCCCAACCCAAAGGUGGGGAGGCCUUACUAAAAAAACUGGAGUUCCUUGGAAAUUCCGGAUCUGGAGCGGCAGAGAAGAGUGUAUCCAAAGUCUAUUCCCAUCAGUGGGAGUAGCUGAAGUUCGAGACCAUGUUGAGAUCAACAGGAACUGGAGGAACUAUACAUGAUGCCCUGCAUGAAUGGGAAGAGCUUAAAGACUAUGUGGACGAUGCGACUCAGAGGUCACAGCCUUUUGACUCUAUUUCUUGGCUCACCUCCAGACCCUGGUGGCAGCCUUUUUAUUAAAGAUUGGAACACCCAUCAUGACUGUACUGAUCCUAUUCUGUCUCUAUACAACCUGCAUCAUUCCAAGUCUUCGUAGCAUUAUGUUAAAGACAUUUAACACUGCUUUGAUCAGCUAUCAGAUGGACAGGGUAACCUCUGACACAGAUGAGGACUACAUCUGGUUUCCAGAAAAAUGAAGAUAAACAGGAAAACAGGAACAUAUGAUGAUGUGCUGUACCUAAUAAACAGAUUAAAUCAUUUGCUCAAUGGCUCCUGCACUGAACAUGUGACAAUAGAUGAUGUUCGUGAUUUAAAAUGCAUUUGGGGUAUACUGUUUCUUUAUUUUUCAUUUAUUGCAUUAUAUUCCAUAUAUUCAUUGUGUAUUUUCUGUGUUUAGAUUAGAAAAAAAAAAAAAAAAAAAAAAUCUUGCAUUUAUUGGUUCUUUUCUUUUCUUUUCUUUUCUAUGCUUAGCUUUUGCAUAAAGUUUACACGCAUAAUAAAAUGAUAAAAAGGGGGGAAUGUUAGAGAUUUUUUGGUAUUAUCAUUUAUUAUUCCUUCAGAUUACAUUCAGUCUAAAGAACAUUGUGAUUUUCUUUUAAAGUGAUUCUCUUCCUUAUGUGUGUAUGAACUGACCUGGAAGUCACUACUGUCUGUUUAUCUUCAUGUGAAACAGUUAACAAUGUGUUUCUCAGACCUUUGAUUAGUUAUCACACCUAGGAACUGGGUUGCUAGUUGAUUGUAUCAGAAGUUUUACGACCUUUGUUGUUUUUCCUGACUGUCCCCUAGGUAGAAAUUCCUUAGUCGUAAAACUGUGUUUGAUUGUGUUCGUUUCGGGGGCUCCUAAUCUUAUCAGCACCAGCCCCCUUUGCUUUUGUUUUGUGUUAAUAAAAA